UUAUAGUAGAUAGUGUUAGGUGCCAAAAGGCUUAAUAGAGGAAGUAGGGUGAAAAUCCCUCACAGCCCCCGCUACUGUAAAGUGGACGAAACCAAAAACCACUGGAUUAUAUUUAAUCUGGGAAGGUAGGGAGUAGAAUGAAACUGAGUCAGAAGACUUACCUAAAAACUAGUUUUUUUU
rnacentral:ncRNA from 20 species